CUAACAAGGAUUCCCCUAGUAACUGCGAGUGAAGAGGGAAGAGCUCAAAUUUGAAAUCUGGCAGUGUUUUGCUGUCCGAGUUGUAAUCUAGAGAAGUGCUGCCCGUGCUGGACCAUGUACAAGUCUCCUGGAAUGGAGCGUCACAGAGGGUGAGAAUCCCGUCUUUGACAUGGACUGCCAGUGCAUUUGUGGUGUGCUCUCAAAGAGUCGAGUUGUUUGGGAAUGCAGCUCUAAAUGGGUGGUAAACUCCAUCUAAAGCUAAAUAUUGGCGAGAGACCGAUAGCGAACAAGUACCGUGAGGGAAAGAUGAAAAGAACUUUGGAAAGAGAGUUAAACAGUAUGUGAAAUUGUUGAAAGGGAAACGCUUAAAGUCAGUCGUGUCGGCCAGGGAUCAACUCAGUAUUAUCUGCUGGGUGUAUUUCCUGAUCUGAUGGGCCAACAUCAGUUUUGACUGCUGGAAAAGGACAGAGGGAAUGUGGCACCUUUGGGUGUGUUAUAGCUCUCUGUCGGAUGCAGUGGUUGGGACUGAGGAAAGCAGCAUGCCGCAAGGCCGGGUCGUUUCGACCACGUUCAUGCUGAGGAUGUUGGCAUAAUGGCUUUAAUCGACCCGUCUUGAAACACGGACCAAGGAGUCUAACAUGCCUGCGAGUGUUUGGGUGGCAAACCCGAGUGCGGAAUGAAAGUGAAAGGUUGAGAUCCCUGUCAUGGGGAGCAUCGACGCCCGGACCUGAGCUCUUGCAAAGGAUCUGCGGUAGAGCAUGUAUGUUAGGACCCGAAAGAUGGUGAACUAUGCCUGAAUAGGGUGAAGCCAGAGGAAACUCUGGUGGAGGCUCGUAGCGAUUCUGACGUGCAAAUCGAUCG
rnacentral:rRNA from 1 species